UCAAGUUACUAAGAGCGUAGGGCGGAUGCCUUGGCACCUAGAGCCGAAGAAGGACGUGAUAAGCUGCGAAAAGCUACGGAGAGCUGCAAAUAAGCUACGACCCGUAGAUAUCCGAAUGGGGAAACCCAGUUUAGCAAACCUAAACUAUCCACUAGUGAAUACAUAGCUAGUGAGAAGGGAACCCGGAGAACUGAAACAUCUAAGUACCCGGAGGAAAAGAAAGUAACAACGAUUCCUUAAGUAGCGGCGAGCGAACGAGGACCAGCCUGCGAGGGCGCAAGAAAAGAGAUAGUCGAAUCGACUGGAAAGAGAAUCAAAGAGGGUAAAAAUCCCGUAGACGAAAUCGAAUGGAAGCAAACUCGCUUAACAAGUAGCAUGAGACACGAGAAAUCUUGUGUGAAGAUGGGAGGCCCACCUCCUAAGGCUAAAUACUACUAGGUGACCGAUAGAGGACAAGUACCGUGAGGGAAAGGUGAAAAGAACCCCGGAAGGGGAGUGAAAUAGAAUCUGAAACCCUAUGUUUACAAGCAGCGAAAGCACGUUAAAAGUGCAAUCGUGUACUUUUUGUAGAACGGGCCAGCGAGUUAUUGUAUAUAGCGAGAUUAAGGCAUUAAGUGCUGUAGUCGGAGGGAAACCGAGUCUUAAUAGGGCGGAAAGUUAUAUAUAAUAGACCCGAAACCGGGUGAUCUAUCCAUGUGCAGAGUGAAGUAUCGGUAAAACGAUAUGGAGGCUCGAACCGGGUAAGGUUUAAAACUUAUCGGAUGACGUGUGGAUAGGGGUGAAAAGCCAAACGAACUCGGAGAUAGCUGGUUCUCCUCGAAAUAGCUUUAGGGCUAGCCUUUGAGAAAGUUUAAUGGAGGUAGAGCACUGAAUGGUCGCGGGGCAUGUAUAUGUUACCAACACCUAUCAAACUCCGAAUGCCAAGAAAACAACUCAAGGAGUCAGACAUGGACAACCAGGAUGUUGGCUUAGAAGCAGCCAUACAUUUAAAGAGUGCGUAAUAGCUCACUGGUCAAGUGAUUUUGCGCCAAAGAUUUCCGGGGCUAAAUCUAACACCGAAGUCGUGGACUUGAUUAAAUCAAGUGGUAGAGGAGCAUUGUAUGUGGGCAGAAGCAGUAUCGUAAGGAACUGUGGACUGCAUACAAGAGAGAAUGCUGGCAUGAGUAGCGAGAGGUGAGUGAGAAUCUCACCCAUCGAAAACCUAAGGAUUCCUGGGCAAGGCUCGUCCCCCCAGGGUAAGUCGGGACCUAAGAUCAGGCUGAAAAGCGUAGUCGAUGGACAACUGGUUGAGAUUCCAGUACUAUCAAUAGUCGUUAUUAGAGAAGUGGUGACGCAGGAGGAUUAACUUACCCGCACGGCAAGGAAAAGUGCGGCCAAAUACCAAGCCAGAGAAUGUAGGCAAAUCCGCAUUCUCGCUAAAGUAAGGUAUGAUGGGGAUCGAAAAACAAGUAGAGAAGAAGACUAAUUCACACUGCCAAGAAAACCCACUAUCGAGACUAAAGAUACCCGUACCGCAAACCGACACAGGUAGGAGAGGAGAGAAUCCUAAGAUGAGCGGAAGAACCUUUGUUAAGGAACUCGGCAAAAUGACCCCGUAACUUCGGGAGAAGGGGAGCCAAUAGGCUAACUAUUGGCCGCAGUGAAUAGGCCCAAGCGACUGUUUACCAAAAACACAAGUUUCUGCUAAGAAGCAAUUCGAAGUAUAGGAGCUGACACCUGCCCGGUGCUGGAAGGUUAAGGGGAAGGCUUAGCGCAAGCGAAGGCUAGAACUUAAGCCCCAGUAAACGGCGGCCGUAACUAUAACGGUCCUAAGGUAGCGAAAUUCCUCGUCGGGUAAGUUCCGACCCGCACGA
rnacentral:rRNA from 1 species